GUAAGGAAGAUAGUAAAUAAUAAACAAUCGGUUGACAAGAUAAAGUCAAUGACACACUUCAACCCGAUACCUACCACAGAAAUAGCUAAUUAGUCACCUACUUAAAUAAAACGUUUGUUCAAGGAAUAUUCACUUCAUUCAAAAUUAAUUUUAAGUUAUUAAUACAAACUACCAACCUAAUGAUAACUAGUUUCAGCAAACUCUGGCACACUUCGCAUUACUGUUUACUGGCUGGUAAGAUAUAAUGUUAUUAAGCUAAAUUACAAAAAAGAAAAUAAUUUGUUUUGACGUAGAUUGUCUCGUAAAUCGGUGUCGAUAACUUCCGCACAGGUUAUCAGUUGAGUGUCGAUGGCGGAUGGUCGACAAUUUUAAAAAUAUUUUAGGUUUUUUGCGUCAACUCCAUUUUCAACUGGUAAAAUCAUCGCAAAAUUUGUCUAAAUUUAAGUUGCUAAUCCAAUUAUUAUGGAAGAGUCUAUACCAGAAAAUUCAGAGAGAAGAGAGGAUAUUGCAAAAAUUUGCUGCGAACUCCGAAACUAUCACAACAGCGGCAGGGCGGCAAUUAGCUAUGAACCACAGUACGAUCCACAAAAUUCUUAAAAAAGACUUACAACAUCCCUGCGAAUUUUUGUUACGGAUUAUCUGGACUGCCGAAGUACAUUUACAAGGAACGGUGUAUGGAAUCAGCGGAAUAUGCACUAUUGGGCCCGAGUAAUCUCCCACGUAUCAAAAGAACUAGGCCAUCAGUACCGCUGGUCAGUGAAUUUAUGGGCGGCAAUCCACGGAGAUAGCGUUAUCGUACCAGUUUUCAUUGACGGAAACCUUAACGGCAAUAGAUUUCUUGAGACGAUAAAUGGCACUUUAGCAGAUUAUGUUAACGCAUUGCCGGAAGCUGAACAUAUGCAGACGUGGUUACAAUUGGAUGGUGCUCCUGCACACUCUUCAGUUCGCGUCCGUAACGCAUUAAACGCGAUGUUCCAAGACCGAUGGAUUGGAAGGUUUGGACCCCGUCGUUGGCCAGCUCGUUCUCCAAACCUCACGCCGCUCGACUUUUACUUAUGGCGAGCGGUAAAAAAUGAAGUUUAUUCCCAACCUAGAACGACUGUCGAACAACUCCGGGAAAAAUUACAGAUGUAAUUGAAAAUCUCCAGCAAGUUGAUAUGGAGAAGGUACGACAAUCAUUGUUAAAUAUGUUGAUGUGUGGCUUACCUCGAGAUUCAAGGACGUGUGCAAAAUCGGUACCUUAGACGUGUAAAUCGUAAUAAUUUUUAUUUUUACUACAAAUUUAUACCAAACUCAAUGUCAGCUAUUAUUGACAGCAGUUAAAAGUUAUCACUUGUGACAGUUGUGACGUCACGUCAGUAAGACAAAGUAGCGAUACAUUGUGUUGAAUUAUUUUAUUAAGGAAAAAUAAAAAAAUAGUUAACGAGA